GAUGAACGCUGGCGGCGUGCCUAAUACAUGCAAGUCGAGCGAACGGACGAGAAGCUUGCUUUUCUGAUGUUAGCGGCGGACGGGUGAGUAACACGUGGAUAACCUACCUAUAAGACUGGGAUAACUUCGGGAAACCGGAGCUAAUACCGGAUAAUAUUUUGAACCGCAUGGUUCAAAAGUGAAAGACGGUCUUGCUGUCACUUAUAGAUGGAUCCGCGCUGCAUUAGCUAGUUGGUAAGGUAACGGCUUACCAAGGCAACGAUGCAUAGCCGACCUGAGAGGGUGAUCGGCCACACUGGAACUGAGACACGGUCCAGACUCCUACGGGAGGCAGCAGUAGGGAAUCUGCCGCAAUGGGCGAAAGCCUGACGGAGCAACGCCGCGUGAGUGAUGAAGGUCUUCGGAUCGUAAAACUCUGUUAUUAGGGAAGAACAUAUGUGUAAGUAACUGUGCACAUCUUGACGGUACCUAAGCAGAAAGCCACGGCUAACUACGU
rnacentral:rRNA from 1 species